rnacentral:misc_RNA from 1 species
AAGUCGUAACAAGGUUUCCGUAGGUGAACCUGCGGAAGGAUCACUAAAGAAUUCGCCCCUCGGGGCUCUCUUUAUUCACACACCCCUGUGUACUUUGGCCACCUCUUUGUUGAGGUGUGUCUUUUUAAUUACCAUACCCUAUAAACACAAGUUAUUGAAUGUAAAAUCGUUAUAAACUAAUAUAA